rnacentral:rRNA from 1 species
GAUGAACGCUGGCGGCGUGCCUAAUACAUGCAAGUCGAGCGAACAGACGAGGAGCUUGCUCCUCUGACGUUUGCGGCGGACGGGUGAGUAACACGUGGAUAACCUACCUAUAAGACUGGGAUAAUUUCGGGAAACCGGAGCUAAUACCGGAUAAUAUCUUGCACCGCAUGGUUCAAUAGUGAAAGACGGUUUUGCUGUCACUUAUAGCUGGAUCCGCGCCGCAUUAGCUAGUUGGUAAGGUAACGGCUUACCAAGGCAACGAUGCGUAGACGACCUGAUAGGGUGGUCGGCCACACUGGAAGUGAGACACGGUCCAGACUCCUACGGGAGGCAGCAGUAGGGAAUCGUCCGCAAAGGGCGAAAGCCUGACGGAGCAACGCCGCGUGAGUUAUGAAGGUCUUCGGAUCGUAAAACUCUGUUAUGAGGGAAGAACAAAUGUGUAAGUAACUAUGCACGUAGUGACGGUACCUAAUCAGAAAGCAACGGCUAACUACGUG